AAGAUAGGAAUUGAACCUAUAACUAGAAGAUCAAAACUUCUCGUAAUUCCAUUUACUCNCUCU
rnacentral:tRNA from 1 species